UGUAGCGAGCUAUCUGCAAUUAAUGGAACUAAGCGUUCUACAUAAGUGUAUGUAAACAGUAAAGAGGACGCCUGAUGGCAAGGAUGUAGCUAGCUAUUUUACCAGUCAGAGGCAGACUAAUUCACGUGCACGUACAGUAGUUAGUGUCGACAUUAGCAGGGUACUCUCUAUCUCAAUAUACGGAAUGCAAGCUAGGUAGCUAACGUUAGUUAAUCAGCAUCAAUCUAAAACAAUAACGUCUGAAAUCCUGUCUGGUGAAAGAUCCAUUAGCUAGGUUGUGAUUCUUACUGACAACGAACGGUCAUGUUUGCUGGAUUAUUUGAUUUCAAGAUAUUGUUUAGCUCGAACAACACGCUUGUGUAUUUGCCCUAGCACUACACAGCUGAUUCAAAUAAUCAAAGCUUGAUGAUGAGUUUUUUUAUUUUUAUAUAUUUUUUUAACUUUAUUUUACUAGGCAAGUCAGUUAUGAACAAAUUCUUAUUUUCAAUGACGGCCUGGGACCAGGGUUAACUGCCUGUUCAGGGGCAGAACGACAGGUUUUGUACCUUGUCAGCUCGGGGAUUUGAACUUGGAACAUUUCGGUUACUAGUCCAAUGUUCUAACCACUAGGCUACCCUUAUUUAAGUCAGUUGUGUAGUACUAGGGCAAAACAACUCAACGUGCACCCAGUGGAGGCUCCAGGACCGUAUUUGGGAAACCCUGACAUAGACGUAACACUUAUCGAAGAAAGUAAUAUUUUUGGGUUGGGGUUGGCAAGGGUGGUCCCUGUAGUGCCUGAUACCAGACCCAGUAUUGACACUUACUGGGAUGUAAACCAAGACACGUUUGAAAAAAUGUAACCCUUACAUAAACCCUGACCACACCAAAUAUAUAGCAAAAUAAGGCAUCGCCCAAACAGUAAACAUGCUCUCACAGUAGGCACUUGUGAGUCUUUUUCUUUGACAUUUUUCACUUGCAGAGACUGUUGUCUUGGAGACUUUAGAGCCCAAAUGUCCCCCAGGGCCUGGCUCAAUGAGAGGCAUGGACAGUGUGGUACUAGACUCUGAAUCAGAUGAGGAGAUAUCUGGGUCAUCCAUGAUGUUGUUGAGAGACCCAGCCCGUAAGAGGAGACUAGAGGUGUGUAACAGCUCCCAGGAGAGUGGGGCAUCCAACUCCAGCAAGAAACCAGCCCUCCAGGAAGAUUUAGUGGUGAGUCCACUAGGGCCAGGACAAUACCAAUAUCGCAAUACUCGUUGGUAUCGAGGCAAGGUAACAAAACACAAAUCAGAUUGAACUUCUUUAGGAAAACAGCCCUAAUGCUGGAAACACACAUCAUGUUGUAAUCCAGUGGCACAUUUGUGCGUUGGAAAAAAUAUUACAAUACUGGUCUCAUCCCGGUCCUAGAGUCCACAUGACUGCAGUCCAAUACCUCCUUCAGCCUCCAUGACACCCCCAAACCAGGGUGGGGGUGCAUACUCAGUUUACACCUGAUGUGUGAGUCAUCUGUGUUGAGCUAGAGAUUUACUGAAGUAAUUUGGCUAAAGUGCCGCGCUCAAGUGCACAAGAGCCCUGUGCCCCACCUGGAGUUUUGACCUUGAGGUUAGUGGUUUAUUUCCCUGACCAAGAUGAUAUACUGCCAUCUUGCUUGUUCAUUUGUUAUUUGUCAUCUCCAGUACAGAGGGGGUAGGCUUGCGUGGGGAGGAGCUCACACUCUAAUUGGCCUGUCUGCCUUCGGAAUUCACGCGCCAGUGUGUUUUUGUUCAACCAAACAGAUGUUUCUGAGGACGAGGGUCCAGAGCCCAGCUGGAAGAGCUGCAGACUAAGUUCCUUAUUCUACAGACUAAGGCUGUAGAAUCCCUCUCUACAGUGCCUGUGUUCUCUGUCACUGCAGUUCCACAACACAUUCAUCAAUAUCCUAAAUGUUGGCAAAUGUGAACCAAAAUUGUUUGAAAUGUGGGAGCUGCAUAUGAAUAAUUAUUUUGACAAAAAAUGUGUGCUUUUGGUUUACAACGGUGUCUAUUUGUCUUAUCUUGCAUGCACACAAGAGCUUAGAGAACCACUUCUGGAGCAUGGUAGACAUUUUGAGGAAAUCCUAUAAGCACUGUGCAAGUUUUCAGAGGAGGGUGAGAGUUUUGUGUUUCAUGGUGCAUGUGUAUAUGUCUGUUAUGUGUGCCUGUUUAUACAAAACAAAAACAUGUACAUUAUUGUUGUACAUUAUUAUUUAGGUAACUAGUUAAAUCAUUCGAUGUCUUGUAGCCCUAUAGUUUCAUGUGUUAAAAGAAUAGCAUCAAUUUGAUUUAUUUGAGAAAAAAAGUAUUUGAGGCAAUAGGUAGCCCAAAUUCCCUCCCAGGUCCUGUAGACGGAUUAUUUUUCCUUCCUUAGAGAGGUCCAGUCAAGAGGACACCCAGGCAUCAUCAUCAGCUAGUUUUCCCCCCUAAACCUCAGCAUGCCAGGCAGCCCAAGCAGCCAAACUCCCUGGUCAUCCCCCAUCACUACCUCACAAGCCUACCAAUGGGAGCAUAAUUAAGACCUUCAAUAGGCUGCCCGAAGGAGCAGACAAAAGGAGGAAGGUGAUUCCAGAUCCAGGCACCAGCUCUGAGGACGAGGCCAGUGAUGACUUUGAUGUGUCUGCUGAGGGCAUGGAGAUGGAACUUGGAUGCCUCGGGCUCAGAUCAGGAGGUUGGAACAGGGUCUAAUGUGAAGGGCCAGAUCCUCUGGUUUUUCCAGGAGGCAUCGCCGGUUGAGCUGUCUCAUCUCUGGCUGCUCUGUGAAGAAGGCCCAGAAGAUUGUCGAGCUUCGCCUAUUUAACAGGUGGGAGAAUCUGGUGGCUGUUCUCGACGGAGGGAACGGCCUCUCCACUGACCUGGUGCAGGGCUAUUGUGUGGUCCUGAGGGAACAGGACGUGGCGCGCAGCCUCUUGACCAAGUGUGAGAACAUCACCAACAAGAUGAUGCAGGACGUGACUCAAGCGGUGGAGAGGGACAAGGGCUUCCAGAAACAGCCUGAGAUCUUCAACAGCAAGGUUUGGGGGAAGACCAUCCAGGCCAUCUCGUUCCUGUUUCCUUGUUAAAGCAAGGAACAACAAUUGUAAAGAAUCCACGUUACCAUGGAAACAGAGUCAACUGCACAAAUGCCCGGCUGUCCCGUCUUCAAUCAGCUGUUAGUUCGGUCUUGCUUCUCUGGUGUACUAUGGUGAGUGACUCAUUUGUUCAUUCUGAGUGGUGGGACACAUCAUGUCGCCAUCAUGGUUAAGGAUUAACAUUGAUUUGAUUAUACAGAUUUCAACCUGUUGGUUUAAGUCACCAGAAGUGAAAGGAUUCCCAAAUAUAGAUUCAGUUUAGAUUGUCCUAUUUAUAUUGUGUGUGUGUGUGUGUGUAUAUGGUCUGUGGAGGAUGGCAGGUUCUUUCGAUAUGAUAUUCUCAACAAAUGGGUCGACUACAACAUAAUAAUUUCCCGUAAGUCCAAAAUUGAAGAAUGACGGUUAUGUAAGAAUGACUAUACACAGAAGUACACUCGAGUCUAUUAGACUACAGGUUCACAUCACUGUGUUAGCUAACUGCUGGGUGUCUUCUGAGCGAGACACUUAGCCUAAGUGCCUCUUGAAAUAUCCAGGGGAAUUAGUGGAGAUCUUGUAAAACCAUCAGCCGUGUAAGUCACCCCAGCCAGGUUUCUGCUAACACUCCAAUAAUGAUAAUAUAUUCAGCGUUUGACUGAACCUGAAAAGGUCUUUGUAAGCUGAACCUGUGACUCAUUCAUUAUUCAUGGUAGUCAAGUGGUUGCCAUGCCUCACAGACUACUUGUGGGAACCUUGUGUGGCUCCUUGAGCUGCCGUGUGUCUGCUGCCAGCUACGCUCUGACUAUCUCCAAAUGACCGCAGCCUGUCCCGAAAGCUCAGAACGCCGAGCAUGAGCUGAAGAACAUAAGCUUCGCUGCUCUACUGCCACCUCUUGGCCAUCAACAUCAGUUCAUUGCUAGAGGCACCGGGAGAGGGAGGGCUUUCAUUGGUCAUCUUGGUUGAAACAGCAGAGAGGAAGAGGUGAAGUGAUAGGUUUUACUCUGCCCAAAAUCUGUCCACGAAAAUAAACCCACAAAGUGAGGAAUUUUUGUAUGGGGGUCAAUGAGAGAGUGUCGAAACUGGUCAACAAAACAUUGAAUUGCUAAUUUGCUCCAUGAGGCUUAUUUGAUUGAAUAGAAGUUUCAUAAUGGUUAGGUUGUUACGAAUGCACUGAUGAGAGAGAGAUAUAAUAUGUUUUGGCAUUGAGGGCUUCCACUAUCUUAAAAUAGUCAACUGGGUGGGGAUUCCUAUGAGUUGGGAGCAAUCAGCCAAUGAAGAAGAAGGAAAUGUACUAUUUUAAAAUGGAGAUAGCCUCAACUUCUAAAAUCUUAACAACUUGGACAUGCUCACAUUUCCUGAUUUCCUUGUCCCAAAUGUUUCAUUCCGUCCAUCCUGAGCCCCAGGACGUGGGUGCUCACAAUGCACAAUGAUUCCCCAGUUGAUCCUGCCAUGCUUUUCUCCGUUGUCAUAGGGGGGGAAAUGCUGACGUAAUUUAAGAUUUUAGAAGUUGUCUAGUGUAUGACAAACAUUCUGGGUCACGAGUGACAAGAAGCAGCAGCUCUACAACACCUUGAUGCAGAAGCUGUAGGGAUCCACCAAUGGAGAGAGUAUGUUAGGGAGAGGAAUAAUGAGAGAAAGUUAUCUUGGUCAUUUGAAAAGUGAUAAUAUACUUAAGGGAAUACUAAAAAGCCAAACAAGUUUAAUUUUAAGAUGCACAGAUUAACUGAUUUCAGACCAUAGCAUGUGUCCAUGUGUCUUCAGAGAGAGAACUGACCAAUGGGAUGAUACUCAUCUUCUGCACAUGUAUCACUCCAGUGUUUAAUUGCUAUAUUGUAAUUAUUUUGCCACUAUGGCCUAUUCAUUGCCUUACCUCCCUUAUCCUACCUCAUUUGCACACACUGUAUAUAGACUUUUUCUAUUGAAUUAUUGACUGUAUGUUUGUUUAUUCCAUGUGUAACUCUGUGUUGUUUGUGUCACACUGCUUUGCUUUAUCUUGGCCAGGUCGCAGUUGUAAAUGAGAACUUGUUCUCAACUGGCCUACCUGGUUAAAUAAAGGUGAAAUAAAUAAAAACAGUUGAAAAAGAUGGUCAAUCAUCCACUGCUGCACCGGUAGCAUUAUACCACUACUAAACUGACUGCUAUGAGUGACUCAUGCUCAAGGUCAAGCCUGAACACUUACCUGUUUUAAGAGAAUUACAGUUAUUGAAUGAGUUUGUAACUGCUAUUGGCAGUUCUACCUCCACUACCACUAAUAUGAAAGUUACUGCUGUUUCGUCUACUGCUACCACUACAGCAACUACUGUUGAUGGGGCUUCUGUAAGCUAAGGGUAUUACAGUGUGUUUUGUUCAGUCUGUAAUUGCUUUGACUCUUGACCCGACCCACCGUGACGCAGACCCAGUGCUGACCAAGGAGGAUAUGGACGUCAUGACAGACUUUGAGCUGCACCGGCUCUGUCUGCAGUACCCAUCCGUACAAGACUAUCAGCUGAACACAGACAUGCUCCUGGACUCAGGAAAACUCAGCCUGCUCACACAGCUUCUGACCUCUCUCAAAAACAAGGUGUGAAAGUGGAGUGGAAGUUGAACAAAUGGAGACAGCUUCUUUAUUAUGCGCUAGUAUGCCUCACCUGUAAUGAACCAGCUAUAGCCUUCUCCAUCGCCCUCCCUGGGGGUUUCUCCCACCCCCAUAAAACCAGUCACUCUUUUAUUCCCCGUUCCUCUACCUUUGUCAGACACUCCAUCUCUUCCCUGCUCUCAAUCACAAUCAAUCUUUCCUUGGCUUUUCCUCUUCUAACAUGCAGUCAACCACAUUUCUCUCUGAUCCCUCCAGUCCAGUAGUCAUUAAUCACAGUGACUGUGAUCCUCUGUCAGGGGGAUAGAGUGGUGCUUUUCAGCCAGUUCACCAUGAUGCUGGACAUUCUAGGAGAUGUUCCUGAAGCACGUGAAGCAUCGCUACAUUCGAUUGGAUGGGUCAACACCCAUGUCUGACAGGUAGGAAUUGUUUGAUGAAUCAGGGCGUUGUACUGUGUCCCUAGUUUUUCAAAUUUGCUAACAUGUAUUGGUCAAAACUGAAGUCACAUUGUCAAAACUCUUCACACAGUCAGUGAAACAGAAGUGUAUGUGGACCAAUCUGUGAAUCAUUUUUCAUUGCUUUCACACAAAAUGCAUUCAAUGACCACAUUCUCCGAAAUCCAUUAACUCUUUUCUCAUUCAUACUCCACCACCUGCAAAACUAUAUAUUUGUAGCACAUGUUUUCAAAUGCUGUUUCCAAAACUGUUAAAAACACAUUCAAAACAGAAUGAUGGCAAAUGUCGUAUAUUUCUGCAGUAACCAGAUUGAAACAUAUAGAAAUUCUUAGCAGAAUAUUUAAUCAUUCUAAACACAGCUGAUGGCAAUUUCAGCUGAAAGCAUACUCACGUAUCCUGUUUUUAGUCUCGUUACCAAACAGACAAAAGAAGAUGGCUUCGGAAGGAUUUAGUUCGGAAACAUGAAUCAAGGAAGACAGGUUGGUGGGGAAAGAAGAGUGACAGGGAGAGGGAGAAUGCAUGGAGGACAAAGGAGAGGAAGACCAAGAGCGGUGGUCUCUGGCGAGAUAAGAGCCACAAUUAUUGACCAUGUUGUAAACCAGCCUCUCUUCUCUGAGAGAGGCUGGUUUAAAGUACAACCAAAUCUGCAGCAUUUAACAGUUUUAUCAAUAGUAUGAAUUUUCCGUAAAAACAACAGGUGAGAUGUGCAUCCUUCAAUGAUAAUUGAACUACAUAUUACAGUAUGUUCACAUUUUUACCUGUACUGACAUUUUGAAAUAUAUUGAUUGUUUUGUGUUUUUCAGUAGGAUCCAAGGGUUGCCUCCCACCGGAGGGAGAGGCAGAAUAUUAUCAGAUGCACAGGAAAUUGCCAUUGUUGACCACAAAACUGCUAGAAAUUUGGGACAGAGUGCUGGCAGACAAUAUCACUUUUGGGAAUGUGAAUACAGUCAGCACAACGACAAUUGCCAGAGUCCUAGAGAAACAUAAAAUAAGGGUGAAACAGUGAACGUGUGAAAGAACUCCGGUAUCAAUAUGUCCAGGGAAGUUGUCUGUUCAAUAACCAAAACAGGGUACAUACACAGCUAUGCAUAAUGUAAAGUACUGUAAAACUGUGGAUUUACUGUAUUUUACAGAGUAAUGGAGAUGGAAGUCAGGCAAACUGCACAUCGUUGUGCUGACCGUGGAGGUCCCAGGCCAGAGAGGAGCUAACAUCACAAUGUGUGCAGCACUGUCCAAUGAUGGUUUGCUGUGUCACAUACCACUCAUUGGCUCCUACAAUACAGAGAGGCUCAUUUAUUUUCUGGAUGACCUGCAUAAUCUACUUGUGCCAGUGGAGGAGAGAGGGGCAAGAAACUCUCUUACCUUCGUUGUUGUGUGGGAUAAUGUGAUAUUCCACCACUCUGCUGCAGUCACAGACUGGUUUGAUGCACAUCCCAGGAUGUCAGUACUAUUCCUGUCUCCAUACUCCCCCUUCCUAAACCCCAUAGAGGAGUUUUUCUCAGCGUGGAGGAGGAAGGUUUAUGACCACCAUCCACAUGACCAGAUGUCCUUACUGGAUGCCAUGAAUGCAGGGGUGAGGAGACACUUCUCCUGAAGACUGCCAGGGUGUGGAGACACUUCUCCUGAAGACUGCCAGGGUGUGGAGACACUUCUCCUGAAGACCGCCAGGGUGUGGAGACACUUCUCCUGAAGACUGCCAGGGUGUGGAGACACUUCUCCUGAAGACUGCCAGGGUGUGGAGACACUUCUCCUGAAGACCGCCAGGGUGUGGAGACACUUCUCCUGAAGACUGCCAGGGUGUGGAGACACUUCUCCUGAAGACUGCCAGGGUGUGGAGACACUUCUCCUGAAGACUGCCAGGGUGUGGAGACACAUCUCCUGAAGACUGCCAGGGUUGGAUUAGACAUUCCAGAAGAUACUUUCCAAGAUGCAUCGCCAGAGAAGACAUAAGAUGUGAUGUUGAUGAGAACUUGUGGCCAAAUGCAGGAGAGAGGGAGAACUAGAGCCUUCACAGUACUGUACAGUAUGAGUGAUUAUACAAUACAAAAUCAAAUCAAAUUUUAUUUGUCACAUACACAUGGUUAGCAGAUGUUAAUGCAAGUGUAGCGAAAUGCUUGUGCUCUUAGUUCCGACAAUGCAGUAAUAACCAACGAGUAAUCUAACCUAACAAUUCCACAACUACUGCCUUAUACACACAAGUGUAAAGGGAUAAAGAAUAUGUACAUAAAGAUAUAUGAAUGAGUGAUGGUACAUCUUUAUGUACUAGCCACUUUAAACAAUGACACU